UACGUAGGGUGCGAGCGUUGUCCGGAAUUACUGGGCGUAAAGAGCUCGUAGGUGGUUUGUCGCGUUGUUCGUGAAAACUCACAGCUCAACUGUGGGCGUGCGGGCGAUACGGGCAGACUGGAGUACUGCAGGGGAGACUGGAAUUCCUGGUGUAGCGGUGGAAUGCGCAGAUAUCAGGAGGAACACCGGUGGCGAAGGCGGGUCUCUGGGCAGUAACUGACGCUGAGGAGCGAAAGCGUGGGGAGCGAAUAGG
rnacentral:rRNA from 1 species